ensembl:lncRNA
AUGGGAACUAUUGGGGUACAACAUGAGCAGUAUUGGGGUUACACCAUGGGCAGCAUUGGGGUUUCACUAUGGGCACUAUUGGGGUUACACUAUGGGCAGUAGUGGGGUACACCAUGGGAACUAUUGGGGUACACCAUGGGCAGCAUUGGGGUAUCCCAUGGACAGAAGUGGUGUUACACUACGGACACCAUUGGGGUUACACCAUGGGCAUUAUUGGGGUUACAGCAUGGGCAGCACCGGGACCCCCCCAUAAGCACAGAAGGAGGAGGGGACCGCACUUAUGGGGUGGAGGGGGAACAAAGGGUCUUCCUGGAGAGGCCACACGUUGCUAUUAGGGUGUGUGGGCAGCCCCGGUGCAUGCAGCUCCUGCACGGUGCUGGUGGGUGCAUGGGGUCAGCAGGGUGCACAGUGCAGCAUGCACGACCAGUGUGCAACACGCAUGCUCAGCAUGCAACAUGCAGUGUGCAUAUAGCGUGCAACAUGUGUUGUCAGCAUGCAACGUGCAUAUAAAGCAUGCAGCGCGUGAUCUCAACGUGCAACAUGCAUACAAAGCAUGCAACGUGCUCUAGGCGUGCAACAUGUUAUGUGCCUGCCAGGUGUGCAACAUGCAAGCAAGUGCAAUGUGUGCCCUCCGUGUGCAGCAGGGUGGGUGCAUGGUGCUGCGUGGGUGAUGUGUGCACGUUGGUGGUGGUGCACAGAGUUGGUGGGUGCGUGAUUUUGGGUGCUGGAUGGGUGCACAGUGCCACAUGCGUGCAUGGUGUUGGGUGGGCGCACAGCCCUGGAUGGUUGCACGGUGCUGGUUGGGUGCACAGCGUUGGUAGGUGCACGGUGCAGGAUGCAUGCACAGCAUUGCUGGGUGCAGUGUUGGUGGGUGCAUUGGUGCUGGAUGUGUGCACGGUGCUGCUGGGUGCUCAGUGUUGCUGGGUGCGUGGUGCAGGAUGCAUGCACAGCAUUGCUGGGUGUCAUGUUGCUGGGUGCACAGCGUUGAUGUGUGCACAGUGCAGGAUGCAUGCACAGCAUUGGUGGGUGCACAGUGUUGCUGGGUGCACGGUGCAGAAUGCGUGCACAGCAUUGCUGGGUGCAGAGCACUGGUGUGUGCAUGGUGCAGGAUGCGUUCACAGCAUUGGUGGGUGCACAGCAUUGGUGGGUGCAGUGUUGCUGGGUGCACAGUGUUGCUGGGGGCACAGUGCAUGAUGCAUGCACGGCAUUGCUGGAUGCGCAGUGCAGGAUGGGCGCACGGCAUUGCUGGGUGCAGUGUUGCUGGGUGCACAGUGCAGGAUGCAUGCACAGCAUUGGUGAGUGCACGGUGCAGGAUGCAUGCACGGCAUUGCUGGGUGCAGUGUUGCUGGGUGCACAGUGCAGGAUGCAUGCACAGCCUUGGUGGGUGCACAGCCUUAGAUGCAUGCACAGCCUUGGUGGGUGCACAGCGUUGCUGGGUGCACAGUGCAGGAUGCAUGCACGGCAUUGCUGGGUGCACAGCAUUGCUGGGUGCAGUGUUGCUGGGUGCACAGUGCAGGAUGCAUGCACGGUGUUGCUCGUUGCACGGCGUUGCUGGGCGCACGGUGCCGGGCGUUGUACAUUGGCCGCUCCAUCCCCACAGCCGGGUGCCAAAUUCCACCGCCCACACAGGAAGCCGUCGGCGCUCUCGGAGCCGUGCAGAGGGCCGGGCCGGCCGGAGGGAUUCAAAGCGAGGGCUGGAGGAGAAAAAGCAGGUCAGCCCCGAGCCGCCAGCGUCACCCUGGCACGCAGCAGACGGCCUUCGAGGAAGCGGAGCGAGGGAUCGGCCGUGACGUCCCCGGGCGCACAGCGUGCAGUUGGCCACGGUGUGAGAGCUCCAGGAACGGCCGGCACCGAGCAAACGCUGCGGUGGCUUUGCUGGGGGUCCCGGGGGUGAGGAGGGCAGGGAUGGCCGUGGGGUGCUGCGUGUGGGGCAGAGCGGGGAGGGGUGGAGGGAGAGGACGGCGGAGGCUGCAGCAGCGUGUGUUGAUUUGGAGAGGUGAAACCAUCUCGUGUUGGUGCGGCUGCGUCCCCACAUGGCUCCAUCCGUGGGGUACGGCCCUCAUCCGUGGGGUACGGCCCUCAUCCGUGGGGUCACUCCAUCCCAUCCGUGGGUACGGGCGCAGCUCCAUCUCCGUAUGGCUCCAUCCGUGGGUACAGCUCCAUCCCUGCUGUCAUCUCAUCCACGGGUGCAGCUCCAUCAAUAGGAACAGCUCCAUCCAUGGAUGCAGCUCCAACCCUGCACAGCUGCAUCUGUGGGUACAGCUCCAUUCAUGGGUACGGCCCCAUCCCUGCUAUCACCCCAUCC